UUCACGGAGAGUUUGAUCCUGGCUCAGGACGAACGCUGGCGGUGUGCUUAACACAUGCAAGUGGUGCGACGAACCAGGCUUCGGCCUGGGGCAAAGCCGCGAACGGGUGAGUAACACGUGGGUAAUCUGCCCCGAUGACCGGGACAACCCGAGGAAACUCGGGCUAAUACCGGAUGUGGUGACCAGACAUAAGUCCGGUUACUAAAGGUAGCUUCGGCUUCCGCAUUGGGAGGGGCCCGCGGCCCAUUAGCUAGUUGGUGGGGUCAAGGCCUACC
rnacentral:rRNA from 1 species